rnacentral:rRNA from 2 species
UACGAAGGGGGCUAGCGUUGUUCGGAAUUACUGGGCGUAAAGCGCGCGUAGGCGGUCAUGUAAGUCAGGGGUGAAAUCCCAGAGCUUAACUCUGGAAUGGCCUUUGAGACUGCAUGGCUAGAGAACGGGAGAGGUGAGUGGAAUUCCCAGUGUAGAGGUGAAAUUCGUAGAUAUUGGGAAGAACACCGGUGGCGAAGGCGGCUCACUGGCCCGUUUCUGACGCUGAGGCGCGAAAGCGUGGGGAGCAAACAGG